rnacentral:rRNA from 1 species
AGAACGAACGCUGGCGGCAGGCUUAACACAUGCAAGUCGAACGAGACUUCGGUCUAGUGGCGCACGGGUGAGUAACGCGUGGGAACCUGUCCUAUGGUACGGAAUAACAUCGGGAAACUGGUGCUAAUACCGUAUAAGCCCCGAGGGGGAAAGAUUUAUCGCCAUAGGAGGGGCCCGCGUAGGAUUAGCUAGUUGGUGAGGUAACGGCUCACCAAGGCGACGAUCCUUAGCUGGUCUGAGAGGAUGAUCAGCCACACUGGGACUGAGACACGGCCCAGACUCCUACGGGAGGCAGCAGUGGGGAAUAUUGGACAAUGGGGGAAACCCUGAUCCAGCCAUGCCGCGUGUGUGAUGAAGGCCUUCGGGUUGUAAAGCACUUUCGCACGUGACGAUGAUGACGGUAACGUGAGAAGAAGCCCCGGCUAACUUCGCGCCAGCAGCCGC